GAGUACAGUAGAGGUGGGCGGAAUUCGUGGUGUAGCGGUGAAAUGCUUAGAUAUCACGAAGAACUCCGAUUGCGAAGGCAGCUCACUAGACUGCAACUGACACUGAUGCUCGAAAGUGUGGGUAUCAAACAGGAUUAGAUACCCUGGUAGUCCACACAGUAAACGAUGAAUACUCGCUGUUUGCGAUAUACAGUAAGCGGCCAAGCGAAAGCAUUAAGUAUUCCACCUGGGGAGUACGCCGGCAACGGUGAAACUCAAAGGAAUUGACGGGGGCCCGCACAAGCGGAGGAACAUGUGGUUUAAUUCGAUGAUACGCGAGGAACCUUACCCGGGCUUAAAUUGCAUUUGAAUAAUCUGGAAACAGGUUAGCCGCAAGGCAAAUGUGAAGGUGCUGCAUGGUUGUCGUCAGCUCGUGCCGUGAGGUGUCGGCUUAAGUGCCAUAACGAGCGCAACCCUUAUCUUUAGUUACUAACAGGUCAUGCUGAGGACUCUAGAGAGACUGCCGUCGUAAGAUGUGAGGAAGGUGGGGAUGACGUCAAAUCAGCACGGCCCUUACGUCCGGGGCUACACACGUGUUACAAUGGGGGGUACAGAAGGCAGCUACCUGGCGACAGGAUGCUAAUCCCAAAAACCUCUCUCAGUUCGGAUCGAAGUCUGCAACCCGACUUCGUGAAGCUGGAUUCGCUAGUAAUCGCGCAUCAGCCAUGGCGCGGUGAAUACGUUCCCGGGCCUUGUACACACCGCCCGUCAAGCCAUGAAAGCCGGGGGUACCUGAAGUACGUAACCGCAAGGAGCGUCCUAGGGUAAAACUGGUAAUUGGGGCUAAGUCGUAACAAGGUAACCA
rnacentral:rRNA from 1 species